rnacentral:rRNA from 1 species
UACGAAGGGUGCAAACGUUGCUCGGAAUUAUUGGGCGUAAAGCGCACGUAGGCGGCUUGGCAAGUCGGAUGUGAAAGCCCUCGGCUCAACCAAGGAAGUGCAUCCGAAACUGCUGAGCUUGAGUACUUAAGAGGAUCGCGGAAUUCCCGGUGUAGAGGUGAAAUUCGUAGAUAUUCGCAAGAACACCAGUGGCGAAGGCGGCUCACUGGCCCGGUACUGACGCUGAGGUGCGAAAGCGUGGGGAGCAAACAGG